rnacentral:rRNA from 1 species
GGAAAAUUUCGGGAGGUCAGCGGGCGGACGGGUGAGUAACACGUGGGCAACCUGCCUGUAAGACUGGGAUAACUCCGGGAAACCGGAGCUAAUACCGGAUACUAUGUCAAACCGCAUGGUUUGACAUUCAAAGACGGUUUCGGCUGUCACUUACAGAUGGGCCCGCGGCGCAUUAGCUAGUUGGUGAGGUAAUGGCUCACCAAGGCGACGAUGCGUAGCCGACCUGAGAGGGUGAUCGGCCACACUGGGACUGAGACACGGCCCAGACUCCUACGGGAGGCAGCAGUAGGGAAUCUUCCGCAAUGGACGAAAGUCUGACGGAGCAACGCCGCGUGAGUGAUGAAGGUUUUCGGAUCGUAAAACUCUGUUGUCAGGGAAGAACAAGUGCCGGAGUAACUGCCGGCACCUUGACGGUACCUGACCAGAAAGCCACGGCUAACUACGUGCCAGCAGCCGCGGUAAUACGUAGGUGGCAAGCGUUGUCCGGAAUUAUUGGGCGUAAAGCGCGCGCAGGCGGUUUCUUAAGUCUGAUGUGAAAGCCCCCGGCUCAACCGGGGAGGGUCAUUGGAAACUGGGAAACUUGAGUGCAGAAGAGGAGAGUGGAAUUCCACGUGUAGCGGUGAAAUGCGUAGAGAUGUGGAGGAACACCAGUGGCGAAGGCGACUCUCUGGUCUGUAACUGACGCUGAGGCGCGAAAGCGUGGGGAGCGAACAGGAUUAGAUACCCUGGUAGUCCACGCCGUAAACGAUGAGUGCUAAGUGUUAGAGGGUUUCCGCCCUUUAGUGCUGCAGCUAACGCAUUAAGCACUCCGCCUGGGGAGUACGGGUCGCAGACUGAACUCAAGGAAUUGACUGGGGCCGCACAAGCGGUGGAGCAUGUU